GAUGAACGCUGGCGGCGUGCUUAAUACAUGCAAGUCGAGCGGAGGGAGGAGAAGCUUGCUGGUCUGAGGUUAGCGGCGGACGGGUGAGUAACACGUGGAUAACCUACCUACUUGACUGGGAUAACCGCGUGAAACCGUAGCUAAUACGGGAUAAUAUUUUGAUCUGCAUGGUUCAACAGGGAAAGACUGUUUCGCUGUCGGGUAUAGAGGGAUCGGCGCUGCAUCAGGUAGUUGGUAAGGUAGCGGCUUACCAAGGCAACGCUGGAUAGCCGACCUGAGAGGGUGGUCGGGCAGGCCACACCUGAGACACGGUCCAGCCUCCUCCGGGACGCAGCACUGGGGUAUCUUACGCAAUGCGAGGAAGCCUAACCGAACACAGCCACGUGAGUGAUGGAGGUCUUCCCAUCGGAAAGUUCUCCUCUUAGGCAAGAACAUCAGUGCAAGUACCUGUGCACAGGUUGACGGUACCUAAUCAGAAAGCCCCGGCUAACUACGUG
rnacentral:rRNA from 1 species